rnacentral:rRNA from 1 species
CGGUUCGCGCUUCCGCCGGCGACCGGCGCACGGGUGAGUAACACGUAUGGAACCUGCCCGCAGCAGGGGGAUAAUCGGGGGAAACCCCGUCUAAUACCGCGUAACGACCCGGAGGGGCAUCCCUUCGGGUCCAAAGGUUUACCGGCUGCGGAUGGCCAUGCGUCGCAUUAGCUUGUUGGCGGGGUAACGGCCCACCAAGGCGACGAUGCGUAGGGGUUCUGAGAGGAAGGUCCCCCACACUGGUACUGAGACACGGACCAGACUCCUACGGAAGGCAGCAG